AUUGAACGCUGGCGGCAGGCCUAACACAUGCAAGUCGAGCGGCAGCGGGAAAGUAGCUUGCUACUUUUGCCGGCGAGCGGCGGACGGGUGAGUAAUGCCUGGGAAAUUGCCCAGUCGAGGGGGAUAACAGUUGGAAACGACUGCUAAUACCGCAUACGCCCUACGGGGGAAAGCAGGGGACCUUCGGGCCUUGCGCGAUUGGAUAUGCCCAGGUGGGAUUAGCUAGUUGGUGAGGUAAUGGCUCACCAAGGCGACGAUCCCUAGCUGGUCUGAGAGGAUGAUCAGCCACACUGGAACUGAGACACGGUCCAGACUCCUACGGGAGGCAGCAGUGGGGAAUAUUGCACAAUGGGGGAAACCCUGAUGCAGCCAUGCCGCGUGUGUGAAGAAGGCCUUCGGGUUGUAAAGCACUUUCAGCGAGGAGGAAAGGUUGAUGCCUAAUACGUAUCAACUGUGACGUUACUCGCAGAAGAAGCACCGGCUAACUCCGUGCCAGCAGCCGCAGUAAAAC
rnacentral:rRNA from 1 species